rnacentral:lncRNA from 1 species
GUAUUACGGAAGCUGAUUCCAUGUCCUUUAAGUGACACAGCUUGUGAGGACCCUGCAGUUACUUGGGAUAAAGAAAGAUAAGGAAGAGAAAGCAAAUUCACAAACUGAAAAGAGAAGAAAGAAUAACUUAAAUUAUCACCGGUGGAUUGCAUCAUGUCAGAAUCAAGAUCAUCUGCCAACAGUUUAGGAGAAAGGGAGAUGAAAAGGCCUGGAGAAGCUUUGAGUCGUCUGCUAAGGUUGAACACUGGCUACUACAUCACUCUUUCUGUUGCUGAAGAUAAGGCUAAAAUAAAAAGGGUUAUGAUUUACUCUGUUAACGUUAAUUUGUGCUCAUUUUUUAAAUCUCAGGUUAUUCCUCGAGCCACAUCAUCUACUAACCAUUGUAAGUGAAUGUAAGACUUUAAACAUAUCCUGAAAAAAAAAAAUGCCAACCUCACUUUAUUUAAGAAGUUUCUUGGAAUAUUUUUAAAGUUGCACAUAUAAUACCAAGACUUAAAUAAAACCCCACACCAUAACUUGUUUUAUCA